AUUUUCUUGGCUGAAAAUGGUAAAAAAGUGAUAUAACAGUACUCUCUCCUGCAGCAUUCUAACAUCAUGAAUUAGAGGAUAUGUCAGCAAUGUUGGAGAAUGGGAAUAAGCUAGAGGAAGCUCUAACAUCACAGAUGCACUGCCUGUUCUAAAUGUGACUAGGGUAUCUCCACUAGGGUUGGAAAUCUUGUGCCUUUGCUGAGUAUGACAAAGCAAUGACUCACACAAAGGAAGAGGAGAACAAGAAAACCCCGGGGAACAGUGGAGGUGGAGCUUUACUAAAACUGGGACCUAUUUUCUAAAUCAGCAGGGAAGAUUUCUGAAAGAGAUAGGCUUAUAGUUCUUAUUAAUUCAAAAUUGCUA
rnacentral:lncRNA from 12 species